ACAGGGAUUGCCCUAGUAACGGCGAGUGAAGCGGCAACAGCUCAAAUUUGAAAUCUGGCUCUUUCAGAGUCCGAGUUGUAAUUUGCAGAGGGCGCUUUGGCGUUGGCAGCGGUCCAAGUUCUUUGGAACAGGACGUCACAGAGGGUGAGAAUCCCGUACGUGGUCGCUAGCCUUCGCCGUGUAAAGCCCCUUCGACGAGUCGAGUUGUUUGGGAAUGCAGCUCUAAAUGGGAGGUAAAUUUCUUCUAAAGCUAAAUACUGGCCAGAGACCGAUAGCGCACAAGUAGAGUGAUCGAAAGAUGAAAAGCACUUUGGAAAGAGAGUCAAAUAGCACGUGAAAUUGUUGAAAGGGAAGCGCUUGCAGCCAGACUUGCCUGUAGUUGCUUAUCCAGACUUUUGUCUGGUGCACUCUUCUAUAGGCAGGCCAGCAUCAGUUUGGGCGGUUGGAUAAAGGUCUCUAUCACGUACCUCUCUUCGGAGAGGCCUUAUAGGGGAGACGACAUACAACCAGCCUGGACUGAGGUCCGCGCAUCUGCUAGGAUGCUGGCGUAAUGGCUGUAAGCGGCCCGUCUUGAAACACGGACCAAGGAGUCUAACAUCUAUGCGAGUGUUUGGGUGUCAAGCCCAUACGCGUAAUGAAAGUGAACGGAGGUGGGAACCUUUUAGGUGCACCAUCGACCGAUCCUGAUGUCUUCGGAUGGAUUUGAGUAAGAGCAUGGCUGUUGGGACCCGAAAGAUGGUGAACUAUGCUUGAAUAGGGUGAAGCCAGAGGAAACUCUGGUGGAGGCUCGCAGCGGUUCUGACGUGCAAAUCGAUCGUCAAAUUUGGGCAUAGGGGCGAAAGACUAAUCGAACUAUCUAGUAGCUGGUUCCUG
rnacentral:rRNA from 1 species